GAUUCAGACUAAGAGGCUGAAACUAUCCUACUUUACCAGCUUAAUCCACUUACACUCUUUAGCCUGUGUGUAUGUCUGUCUGUGUGUGUGUGUGUUUGUGCUAACAUUGUCUAGGAAUAUGAUUGUGUAAAAUAUUGAGAAAGUUACUUAGUAUUUAUAUUUAUCCAUGUGUCAGUACUAUUUUGAGUUUGAAUGUUUAAUCUCUAUGUGUGAGUCAUUGUGUGCAUCAUCUUUUCGUCUCUUUUCUCUUUCAUUCUCUCUCUCUCUCUAUCUGUGUGUGUGUGUGUGUGAGUGUGAGUGUUUUAUUCUCUAUGGACCCUUUGCUGCCUAGCAGCCGUGUUGCCACCCUCUCAUGGGGAAUUACAGGUUCAGCCUCACCACACACACACACACACACACACACACUCACCCUCACGCACACACACACACAAAUACAACGCCAAACUCUUUGUUAAGCACAGACUAACCAUGUGCAUUAUACAGAACAAUACUGGGGAGCUCGCUGUGCCUGAAACCAGACUAGCAGCACUGCAACAAGAUUAACAGACUGACACACGCACACACACACACACACACACACACACACACAGUUCCUCAUCAGCGGCUCUAAGAAGCUAAAGAACAACAACAAGCCGGUUGAAAGAGAGACAGAAGGCAGAAGGGGAGACAAGAAAGAGCAGGGUUGGACACCCUGGGAAAUACACACACACACACACACACACAUUAAUGUGUGUGUGUCAUGGGAUUGAAACUCAUUAUUUGAAGGAACCAUCUCUACUUCCUGAGAGGCAGAGAGGAGGAGGAGGAGACAAUAUGCUGAGCAACCUUUUCACCAUGCUGAGACAGUUCACUGAGAGCAACUUCCAGUCAUCGGCCAUGUUUGAUGUUACCGAGACGACAACGGACGCAGAGGGUGGGAGUUCAGAGAGCACUUUGGGCUCGUCCGUCACGGCCUGCAAGAAGGUACACAACUCAGUGUGUGUGUGUGUGUGUGUGUGUGACUGAUGUUUGCAUGAAUUAAUAGUGAGAUGGAUUAUUUGCCUUUCAUAAACUUAACAACAGGGCAGUAUAAAGAAAUGGAAAGAGUGAGAGACACACACAGUACAAGAGAGAGAUGGAGAGAAAGUGUGACAUGGAGAGAGUGAAAGACACAGAGAGAGCGAGAGAGGGCGACAGUGCU
rnacentral:lncRNA from 1 species